AUAAGUGAAAAAAUCCCUUUACUGAGAGUAUAUUCUACAUUUUUUUCUUCUCAUUUACAAUUACCUAAAUUCAGUGCACUGAAAAAGAAAUGCACGAAGGUUUACGUCGCCAAAGCAAAGGCUCGCCUUUGUAAGAAACCAAAAGUUACGUUCAGAUAUCACAAGUUACAAGUUCAAAUUAUUCAUCAUUUGGUGAUCUUGUUA
rnacentral:misc_RNA from 1 species